rnacentral:rRNA from 1 species
AUUGAACGCUGGCGGCAGGCCUAACACAUGCAAGUCGAACGAGUGGCGGACGGGUGAGUAAUGUAUGGGAAACUGCCUGACGGAGGGGGAUAACUACUGGAAACGGUAGCUAAUACCGCAUACCAUCAGAUGUGCCCAGGUGGGAUGAGCUUGUUGGUGGGGUAACGGCUCACGAAGGCGACGAUCCCUAGCUGGUCUGAGAGGAUGACGAGCCACCCUGGAACGGAGACCCGGUCCAGACUCCUACGGUAGGCGGCAGUGGGGAAUAUCGGACAAUGGGCGCAAGCCUGAUGCAGCCAUGCCGCUGGUAUGAAGAAGGCCUUCGGGUUUUAAAGUACGUUCAGCGGGGAGGCGUUACCCGCAGAAGAAGCACCGGCUAACUCCGUGCCAGCAGCCGCGGUAAUUC